rnacentral:rRNA from 1 species
AGUGAACGCUGGCGGUAGGCCUAACACAUGCAAGUCGAACGGCAGCACAGAGGAGCUUGCUCCUUGGGUGGCGAGUGGCGGACGGGUGAGGAAUACAUCGGAAUCUACUCUGUCGUGGGGGAUAACGUAGGGAGACUUACGCUAAUACCGCAUACGACCUACGGGUGAAAGCAGGGGAUCUUCGGACCUUGCGCGAUUGAAUGAGCCGAUGUCGGAUUAGCUAGUUGGCGGGGUAAAGGCCCACCAAGGCGACGAUCCGUAGCUGGUCUGAGAGGAUGAUCAGCCACACUGGAACUGAGACACGGUCCAGACUCCUACGGGGGGCAGCAGUGGGGAAUAUUGGACAAUGGGCGCAAGCCUGAUCCAGCCAUACCGCGUGGGUGAAGAAGGCCUUCGGGUUGUAAAGCCCUUUUGUUGGGAAAGAAAUCCAUCUGGUUAAUACCCGGGUGGGAUGACGGUACCCAAAGAAUAAGCACCGGCUAACUUCGUGCCAGCAGCCGCGGUAA